AUUUAAAUAACUUAUAAUAGAGUGUAGUAUUGAAGAUACUAAAGAGAUUAUUUUAAUCUUUAAAUA
rnacentral:tRNA from 1 species